AAAACAGUCCCUCCCUCCAGAGCUUUGAUCACACAACAGUUUUGUAACCAUGUUCUCUCAGAAAGUUCCAUAGUCCACCCAUCUGGAACAAAAUAGUGAUUUCCAGAAAGCUCUUUUGCUGUCUUACAGGAUAUGGGUCAAUGACAGUGUGGGAAGAAACAAGAAAAAUCAAUAACCUACAUUUUAAUGUGAAAUGACAACAUGUUUAACAACAGACUUCCCAGGCAUGCUUCAGGAGAGAAUGCGAGAACAUAAUUUUAGAACCAGAAGGAAACUUAGAGAUGAUGAGAACUUAACACUGGAUUUCACAGGUGAGAAAUGGAGACCCUGACUGGAGAACUUUCUUGGGUCACACAACUAGUUAUCCACUUUCAGCUUGGUCUUCUUUCAAUCUUCAUUUGCCUCCUAAAUAAAAGAUCUGCUGGCUCGGACUCAA
rnacentral:lncRNA from 1 species